rnacentral:lncRNA from 1 species
UACUGCUAGCUUAAUAAGCAUGGUGUUUGUGGAUUCUUCUUUUUGUUUGAUUGCUUGUGUGGAUGAUUGAUCUACUAUGUAAUGUAAUCUACGGCUGGGUUCUCAGGUGAGUUUGCACUCAUCACUCCCCCCUUGAAUUUUGGGCGGAAAGGUGAGUUGAGGAAAAGCGAAACGGGGGGCGAUCGAUGAUGUGGUCACGCAGAUGGGGACAAGGGCUGGAAUUAGUUGUAGGACCUCCGUCGUUGAAAAGAGAAAUUUGGUGCGUACGUGUGCUAGCUCCUCGGGAAUGAACGAUGUUAAAGCUACAAUGGAUCGAUAAAGCUGGGACGGAAAAGAAGAAGAAGGAGAAGAGGUUGACAGCGUUCCUGCAGAUGCUGCCAAAGUUUGUUUUGUAAAGAGGAAAACAGGCAGAGCAGGUGGCCGAUGCAAAAGCAAAACCAAGAAGAAGAAGCCGUUCACGGACUCUUUUUGUUUGCUUUGCUACACGCAGGAAGUGCUGACCGGAGUCACAUUUCGACGAACUUGAUUUUUUUAUUUUUUUUGCGUUUCUUGCAAAGCAGAGUUGACAUUUAUACACAGGUCGACGCUUUGGUUGUCACGUGCGCGCAAAGCUGAAGGGGCGGAAUGCGGGCAACGGACGUCGUCGGUGGAUGGACGGAUGGGAAAGCAGCAAGCGUGCGUGUGGGACGGUGGCGAUCGAAUUUGGAGCGCGUCGGCGGGGCGGCCCAUGGUUCUUCAUUUUCUUUAAAAAAAAAUUUCAAACUUGGCAUGGUUCUUGCGGUUCGGCGAGUAGUACACACUCCAGUGAGUGGCUUGCGUGUUUGACUCGAAUUACCGUACGCAGAGAUGCGUCCUUGGCUUUGACCUUUAGAAAAAAGAACGGAGAAGGCGUGUAGAAGUAGCAGUAGCAUCGCCUAUCUCUGGAGCAUGCAUCAUUGAUUACGGCAAGAAAAAAGAACGGAGAAGGAGAUGGCAACGCAGGCAUCCCAAGAUAGAGAGAGAAGAAAGAAGACAAGGGCCGAGUCAGGGAGAGGGCGCGGCGGGCGAGGUCUAGGCCCAGCGCUGCUGCCCAACCCCAAAACCCCAUUCAUUCAUUUCACGCAACCAUUUCCCCUCUUUCUUUACUGCGCGCUUUCCCACCAACUCCACG